rnacentral:lncRNA from 1 species
UUCCAUGCAUUUAUGAUCAAGCGAGUUCCAGCAGGAACGUGGAAACCAGCAAUGGUGCAGUCUUCCAGGGCUUGCCGGGGACCUGAGAGCGGAGCAACGGGGUAGAGGCGGAGAGUCUCCUUUACCACAGCUUGAAGAUACACCAGGUUUUUUAAGUCUGUUUCAUUCACUUGACGUUCAACACCUACAUGAAGAUCUAAUUCUUCUUUUAGCUUUUCUAAUGCAAAUCGAUGAUUUAGCAGUAACGAGAUGGCCCAUGUCAACAUGGUUGAUGUGGUGUCGCUGCCGCCAGCUAUAACAGUCUGCAGGAAAUUAAUUAAUCAACUUAUUAAUUUCAGAAUAAUAAUGUUCUAAUAUAAUAUUGACAUACCAGACAGGUAGCUUUGAUGCUAGUAUUCGAAUCAUAAGGAAACCCAGAGAGUUGUCCAUCAUCUUCUAGCGACAACAUCACGUCAAUGAAGUCUUGUUCACCCUCAGCCUUGAGCUCGCCUGAAGCUUUCUUCCGGCGAUGCUCGCUCACCCAAUC